rnacentral:rRNA from 1 species
GAUGAACGCUGGCGGCGUGCCUAACACAUGCAAGUCGAACGGGAACUCCGAGAUGAAGGUUCGCUGGAAUCUUGGAAAUUCUAGUGGCGGACGGGUGAGUAACACGUGAGCAAUCUGCCCUUAAGAGGGGGAUACCAGUUAGAAAUGACUGUUAAUACCGCAUAAGAUAGUAGUAUCGCAUGAUACAGCUAUAAAAGAUUUAUCGCUUAAGGAUGAGCUCGCGUCUGAUUAGCUGGUUGGUGAGGUAACGGCUCACCAAGGCAACGAUCAGUAGCCGGACUGAGAGGUUGGACGGCCACAUUGGGACUGAGACACGGCCCAGACUCC